CCUACGGGAGGCAGCAGUGAGGAAUAUUGGUCAAUGGACGAGAGUCUGAACCAGCCAAGUAGCGUGAAGGAUGACUGCCCUAUGGGUUGUAAACUUCUUUUAUAAAGGAAUAAAACGAGGCACGUGUGCCUUUUUGCAUGUACUUUAUGAAUAAGGAUCGGCUAACUCCGUGCCAGCAGCCGCGGUAAUACGGAGGAUCCGAGCGUUAUCCGGAUUUAUUGGGUUUAAAGGGAGCGUAGAUGGGUUGUUAAGUCAGUUGUGAAAGUUUGCGGCUCAACCGUAAAAUUGCAAUUGAUACUGGCAGUCGUGAGUACAGAUGAGGUAAGCGGAAUUCGUGGUGUAGCGGUGAAAUGCUUAGAUAUCACGAAGAACCCCGAUUGCGAAGGCAGCUUACUAAACUGUGACUGACAUUGAGGCUCGAAAGUGUGGGUAUCAAACAGGAUUAGAUACCCUUGUAGUC
rnacentral:rRNA from 1 species